rnacentral:rRNA from 1 species
UUGGAGGUGAUUGAGACCAUGCAAGACGGAGGACAAUCAGCGGGUGCGGCGGCGGCAAUUUUUGAUGAUUGUUUUCACUAUGCAUGUGAUUUUGUGGUGACUAGACUCGAACACGGUAAUAGAGAGGGAAACAAAGUUGCUCAUGAACUUGCUAGAUUAGCUAGAUUUUCUUUGACUUCGGAUUGGGUUGAGGAGCCUAUCAAUGAAAUUGUAAUGAUCAUCACAAACGAUGUACUGAUUAUUUCUAAUAAAUAA